UCAGUGGGUAGUUUAAUUUAGAAUAUUAAUUUUGGAGAUUAAAGGUGGAUAUUUUCUUUCACUGAU
rnacentral:tRNA from 1 species